rnacentral:rRNA from 1 species
AGUGAACGCUGGCGGUAGGCCUAACACAUGCAAGUCGAACGGCAGCACAGUAAGAGCUUGCUCUUACGGGUGGCGAGUGGCGGACGGGCGAGGAAUACAUCGGAAUCUACUUUUUCGUGGGGGAGAACGUAGGGAAACUUACGCUAAUACCGCAUACGACCUACGGGUGAAAGCAGGGGAUCUUCGGACCUUGCGCGAUUGAAUGAGCCGAUGUCGGAUUAGCUAGUUGGCGGGGUAAAGGCCCACCAAGGCGACGAUCCGUAGCUGGUCUGAGAGGAUGAUCAGCCCCACUGAGACUGAGACCCGCUCCAGCCUCCUACGGGAGGGCGCAGUGCGGCAUCUUGGCCCAUGGGCGCAAGCCUGAUCCCGCCAUACCGCGGCGGUGAAGAAGGCCUUCGGGUUGUAAAGCCCUUUUGUUGGGCAAGAAAAGCAGCAGGUUCAUACCCCGCUGUUCUGCCGGUCCCCAAAGAAUAAGCACCGGCUCACUUCGUGC